AACGGAGAGUUUGAUCCUGGCUCAGGACGAACGCUGGCGGCGUGCCUAACACAUGCAAGUCAAGGGGUAGCAAUACCACUGGCGCACGGGUGAGUAACGCGUAGAUAAUCUGCCCUUAUCCCUGACAUAACAUCGAGAAAUCGGUGCUAAUAUCAGAUGAGGUGGAAACAUCAAAGGCUACGGCUGGAUAAGGAUGAGUCUGCGUCUGAUUAGCUAGUUGGCGGGGUAAAAGCCCACCAAGGCGACGAUCAGUAGCUGGUCUGAGAGGACGAUCAGCCACACUGGAACUGAGACACGGUCCAGACUCCUACGGGAGGCAGCAGUGAGGAAUAUUGGUCAAUGGGGGAAACCCUGAACCAGCGACG
rnacentral:rRNA from 1 species